GGACGACAGGCAUGAGCCACCGCGCCCAGCCAAUGUGAUCACUUUCUUCAACAUAAUCAGGCCAUAACUGCUGACACCAGGCAGCUACCUGAGCCACCUCACUCUCCAGCUUCUGAGGAAAAUUGAGAAAGGCUAUUGGGCUGCAAAAGUUCUGGCCUCCAAAAUUAUGAGAUUAAAAAAUGCUGUUGAUCCAAGCCAAAAUUUCUAUGGCAAUUUAUUGUAGGAAACUAAUGCACGGUCUGCUUUAAGGAAAAGAUUGCACUGACCUAAGGACUCAAGUGUCUAGCCCUUAAGUAGAUAUGUUACCAUUGUACGUUUUUAAGUUGACAUUCUAUUUCUUUAAAGCCAUUCAUACACUUGGUGUAUUAGCAAAAUAGAUUAAGUUAUACCACAGUGAUAACCCCAAAUCUAAGUGUCUGGACAUGCUACAUGCCCGCAAGGGUUGCUAGUAGAUUGUGAUCCACA
rnacentral:lncRNA from 1 species